rnacentral:rRNA from 1 species
UACGAAGGGGGCUAGCGUUGCUCGGAUUGACUGGGCGUAAAGGGCGCGUAGGCGGUUCGUACAGUCAGACGUGAAAUUCCUGGGCUCAACCUGGGGGCUGCGUUUGAUACGUGCGGACUUGAGUGCGGAAGAGGGUCGUGGAAUUCCCAGUGUAGAGGUGAAAUUCGUAGAUAUUGGGAAGAACACCAGUGGCGAAGGCGGCUCACUGGUCCGGUACUGACGCUGAGGUGCGAAAGCGUGGGGGAGCAAACAGG